rnacentral:rRNA from 1 species
GGCGGCAGGCCUAACACAUGCAAGUCGAACGGUAACAGGAAGCAGCUUGCUGCUUCGCUGACGAGUGGCGGACGGGUGAGUAAUGUCUGGGAAACUGCCUGAUGGAGGGGGAUAACUACUGGAAACGGUAGCUAAUACCGCAUAACGUCGCAAGACCAAAGAGGGGGACCUUCGGGCCUCUUGCCAUCGGAUGUGCCCAGAUGGGAUUAGCUAGUAGGUGGGGUAACGGCUCACCUAGGCGACGAUCCCUAGCUGGUCUGAGAGGAUGACCAGCCACACUGGAACUGAGA